GGGCGUUAAGUUGCAGGGUAUAGACCCGAAACCCGGUGAUCUAGCCAUGGGCAGGUUGAAGGUUGGGUAACACUAACUGGAGGACCGAACCGACUAAUGUUGAAAAAUUAGCGGAUGACCUGUGGCUGGGGGUGAAAGGCCAAUCAAACCGGGAGAUAGCUGGUUCUCCCCGAAAGCUAUUUAGGUAGCGCCUCGUGAAUUCAUCUCCGGGGGUAGAGCACUGUUUCGGCUAGGGGGCCAUCCCGGCUUACCAACCCGAUGCAAACUGCGAAUACCGGAGAAUGUUAUCACGGGAGACACACGGCGGGUGCUAACGUCCGUCGUGAAGAGGGAAACAACCCAGACCGCCAGCUAAGGUCCCAAAGUCAUGGUUAAGUGGGAAACGAUGUGGGAAGGCCCAGACAGCCAGGAUGUUGGCUUAGAAGCAGCCAUCAUUUAAAGAAAGCGUAAUAGCUCACUGGUCGAGUCGGCCUGCGCGGAAGAUGUAACGGGGCUAAACCAUGCACCGAAGCUGCGGCAGCGAACGUAUCACUUAAAGCGAUUCAGCGGGUUACGAUUGACGGAGCGAAGCGACGUCAAAGCGUAUACAAAGUCGAGUCGGUUUAAGGAUACGUUCGUUGGGUAGGGGAGCGUUCUGUAAGCCUGUGAAGGUGUGUCGUGAGGCAUGCUGGAGGUAUCAGAAGUGCGAAUGCUGACAUAAGUAACGAUAAAGCGGGUGAAAAGCCCGCUCGCCGGAAGACCAAGGGUUCCUGUCCAACGUUAAUCGGGGCAGGGUGAGUCGACCCCUAAGGCGAGGCCGAAAGGCGUAGUCGAUGGGAAACGGGUUAAUAUUCCCGUACUUGGUGUUACUGCGAAGGGGGGACGGAGAAGGCUAUGUUGGCCGGGCGACGGUUGUCCCGGUUUAAGCGUGUAGGUGUGUGUUCCAGGUAAAUCCGGUUCACUUUAACACUGAGGCGUGAUGACGAGGCACUACGGUGCUGAAGCAACAAAUGCCCUGCUUCCAGGAAAAGCCUCUAAGCAUCAGGUAACAUCAAAUCGUACCCCAAACCGACACAGGUGGUCAGGUAGAGAAUACCAAGGCGCUUGAGAGAACUCGGGUGAAGGAACUAGGCAAAAUGGUGCCGUAACUUCGGGAGAAGGCACGCUGACAUGUAGGUGAAGUGAUUUACUCAUGGAGCUGAAGUCAGUCGAAGAUACCAGCUGGCUGCAACUGUUUAUUAAAAACACAGCACUGUGCAAACACGAAAGUGGACGUAUACGGUGUGACGCCUGCCCGGUGCCGGAAGGUUAAUUGAUGGGGUCAGCGCAAGCGAAGCUCCUGAUCGAAGCCCCGGUAAACGGCGGCCGUAACUAUAACGGUCCUAAGGUAGCGAAAUUCCUUGUCGGGUAAGUUCCGACCUGCACGAAUGGCGUAAUGAUGGCCAGGCUGUCUCCACCCGAGACUCAGUGAAAUUGAACUCGCUGUGAAGAUGCAGUGUACCCGCGGCAAGACGGAAAGACCCCGUGAACCUUUACUAUAGCUUGACACUGAACAUUGAGCCUUGAUGUGUAG
rnacentral:rRNA from 1 species